AGAGCAUUCUGUCUCCUGCCUCUCUCACUUAGAUUUUUCCCUCCUAGCAUCCACCUGCCCUUAUUACCAUGUAUUCCAAGUUAAAAGUUAGAUUUUUGUCUUUUUUGUGUGCUCAGGUUAUGCCCUGUUCACUUUAAUCCUCUAAGCUGCCUGUUCUCCUCAGGACAAGGACCUGCCUUUCAAAGCUGAAGACUUCAGCACUGCCAGUACUGCCCAACAAACAGUGUUUGCAGCUGCCAUGAAUCCAUUCCCAGGGCAGUGACUUCUAAAAUAACCCCCUUUAUCUUGUCACCACUGGGGCUCAGCCUUCAUUUUCAUCUCAUUAACUACUGACUUUUUAGGAUUUUACAUCUCUGCUAACUGCAGUUAGUUAGCAGUUGGUUAGCAGACUGAAGGUUCUUUGACUUUUUAGGAUUUUACAUCUCUCCUAACUGCAGUUAGUUAGCAGUUAAUUAGCAGACUGAAGGUUCUUUGAUCUUUAUAUCAUUUUUUUCUCAGUAAUUUUUCUUCUCUAUUUUGGACCAAGAG
rnacentral:lncRNA from 1 species